CAGCAGUAGCCGCGGGAAUACGAAGGGGGCUAGCGUUGUUCGGAAUUACUGGGCGUAAAGCGCACGUAGGCGGAUACUUAAGAUAGGGGUGAAAUCCCAGGGCUCAACCCUGGAACUGCCUUUAAUACUGGGUAUCUAGAGUAUGGUAGAGGUGAGUGGAAUUCCGAGUGUAGAGGUGAAAUUCGUAGAUAUUCGGAGGAACACCAGUGGCGAAGGCGGCUCACUGGACCAUUACUGACGCUGAGGUGCGAAAGCGUGGGGAGCAAACAGGAUUAGAUACCCGCGUAGUCCCUGUCUCUUAUAC
rnacentral:rRNA from 1 species